AGAACUACAGGCUACACAGAGGAGAAGGGAGCCAGGCCACCUUUCCCAUGCAUCCCACUCCUUGAACAGAAAGAGCAACUAAAAAGGGAGGCAGGAGUUCUAAGCACCAUCUUUUUUUCACCAGUACAGUUUCCAAGAUCUUGCUGCUAUGAAAAUAAAGAUCUCCUAAUAUUUAUAGUACUUGAGGCAGCACUGAGAAGUGAAGGAAUAUUUGGGAGGAUCAGAAGCUUGGUCCUGAUUUUGCCAUCAACAGGAACUUGAUGACUUCAAGGGAGUCCCCAAACCCUGGGUUUCUGUUUUCUCAACUCUAACAUGAGGGGCUAGAUGCAUCUGGUUUAGUUAGUCUCCAUGAUGGUUUAGUUCGUCUCCAUGAUCCUGUGAAUUUCAGAUGUUGAAAAUCUUCGGAAAAGCCCUGAAAGAUGAACAGUGGUCUCAAAUAGUCAAGACCCCCUGCUGGGAGGAGCUUCUAUCCUGCUCUGUGGAA
ensembl:lncRNA CYP1B1-AS1 CYP1B1 antisense RNA 1